rnacentral:rRNA from 1 species
UACGGAGGGUGCGAGCGUUAAUCGGAAUUACUGGGCGUAAAGCGCACGCAGGCGGUUUGUUAAGCUAGAUGUGAAAGCCCCGGGCUCAACCUGGGAUGGUCAUUUAGAACUGGCAGACUAGAGUCUUGGAGAGGGGAGUGGAAUUCCAGGUGUAGCGGUGAAAUGCGUAGAUAUCUGGAGGAACAUCAGUGGCGAGGGCGACUCCCUGGCCAAAGACUGACGCUCAUGUGCGAAAGUGUGGGUAGCGAACAGG